rnacentral:rRNA from 1 species
UACGUAGGGUGCGAGCGUUAAUCGGAAUUACUGGGCGUAAAGCGUGCGCAGGCGGCUUUGCAAGACAGAUGUGAAAUCCCCGGGCUUAACCUGGGGACUGCAUUUGUGACUGCAUGGCUGGAGUGCGGCAGAGGGGGAUGGAAUUCCGCGUGUAGCAGUGAAAUGCGUAGAUAUGCGGAGGAACACCGAUGGCGAAGGCAAUCCCCUGGGCCUGCACUGACGCUCAUGCACGAAAGCGUGGGGAGCAAACAGG